UACAGAGGGGGCAAGCGUUAUUCGGAAUUAUUGGGCGUAAAGGGCGUGUAGGCGGCCAGGUAGGUCGGUUGUGAAAACUGGAGGCUCAACCUUCAGAGGUCGACCGAAACCAUCUGGCUAGAGUCCGGGAGAGGAGAGUGGAAUUCCUGGUGUAGCGGUGAAAUGCGCAGAUAUCAGGAAGAACACCCGUGGCGAAAGCGGCUCUCUGGAACGGUACUGACGCUGAGACGCGAAAGCGUGGGGAGCGAACAGG
rnacentral:rRNA from 1 species